CACAGUAUGAAGAAGGAAAAAAAAUUUAGAGAGAGAGUAAAAAGAAGGGUAAGGGAAUAAACGAAAGAAAAGAAGGAAUAUGGGAGGAGAAUAAAAAGAAAUAAAAUAAUAAAAUAAUUGGAGGUGCACAAAUACAAAUGUUUAAGAAGAGUUGAAUAAGAAGAAGGGGGAUGAGUGCUGCGCGUGAGAGAGAGAGAGAGAGAGAGAGGAGAGAGGAGAGAGAG
rnacentral:lncRNA from 1 species